rnacentral:rRNA from 1 species
UGUAAGCGUAUACCAAAGUUGUUGCAGUUAAAACGCUCGUAGUCGGAAUUUGGCAGUUCCGGAUGUGUGCACGUCGUGUGCGCACUUCGCGGGGAUUGCUUUUGUGGUCUUGCGUAGGAUGAGGCACUUUUAUUAGUGAACGUCCUCACGCAACCACUUUUUACUGUGAGAAAAUCAGAGUGCUCAAAGCAGGCAUUUGCCGUGAAUGUAUUAGCAUGGUAUAAUAGAAUAGGACUUGGUUCUAUUUUGUUGGUUUGUUGGGACUGAGUAAUGAUUAAGAGGGACAGUUGGGGGCAUUUGUAUUUCGGUGCUAGAGGUGAAAUUCUUAGAUUACCGAAAGACAAACUGCUGCGAAAGCGUCUGCCAAGGAUGUUUUCAUUGA